UAGCCUGACUUAGCUCUUAACUCUGCUUGGAGACACACCUUGUUCUGUUGGUAUUUGUAAUUAUGUGAAUUAUUACAUCUCCAGCCUGGCACCAUGCCAGCUGCUACUUUCCUAAGAUCUGAUUGCCGAAAAAUCCGUGGUCACCUGGCCACGGUGGCCCGUGGCCUGGUGGCUAAAGCUCUCGCUUCACAUGGCGAGGGGUCUGGGUUCGAUUUCCGGCAAGGGUAGAAACAUUUGGUGUGUUUCUUUACACUGGUUGUCUAUGUUCCUUAUCAGUAAAAAAGGGUACCUAGGAGUUAGUCAACUGGUGUGGGUCGCAUCCUGGGUGUUAGUCGACUGGUGUGGGUCCCAUCCUGGGACAAAACUGACCUAAUUUGUCCGAAAUGCUCUGCAUAAUAAGGGGCUUUCUAUAUUUUAGUAUGUCAUUGAUGUCAGCUAUGGUCUGUAUACCUUGUACAUGUACUUGUAGUAAAUAAAGAUAUUAUUAUUAUUAUUAUUAUUAUUAUUAUUAUUAUUAUUAUUAUUAAUUAUAGAGUGACGUAGGACGGACAUGCCAGUGUAACAAUGACUGAUGAAAGGACACACCAGUAUAUGAUGGGUAUUGUGUUUACAAUACUGGGUAAUGAACUAUGCUGCUGCUGCUGCUGCUGCUGUGUUCUAUGACAAUUACGUAAUACGAAGAAGAGCUAUCAAUGUUUCCUCAUUAUUCUCCAUCACACAGGAUGGUGUUCCUACACCAGGUGAUAAAAUAGGUUGAUCCAGGAGACAUAAGUAGGGUGAUCAAGGACAUCAUUAAGUACAUUAUUAGACAUUUAGCAGUUAUGGAAGCUAGCAAGACUUCAUGUCAGAAGACCUGGAAUGAAGCCCUGGAAGACCUGAGGUUACUGUUGCUUAUCAAAUGUUAUCUCUUAGGAGAGUAUCAUCUCUCACUCUUUCUCAACCUCUUUCCAUCUCUAUUUUUCUUCCUCCCACUCUUCUUACCAGGACUCAGGUUGAAGCUCCUUACUUCCAGGACUCAGGAUGAGGCUCCUUCCUUGCAGGACUCAGAAUGAAGCUCCUCACUUCCAGGACUCAGGAUGAAGCUCCUUCCUUCCAGGACUCAGGAUGAAGCUCUUUCCUUCCAGGACUCAGGUUGAAGCUGCUUCCUUCCAGGACUCAGGUUGAAGCUGCUUACUUCCAGGACUCAGGUUGAAGCUCCAUACUUCCAGGACUCAGGUUGAAGCUCCAUACUUCCAGGACUCAGGUUGAAGCCUCAUACUU